rnacentral:tRNA from 1 species
UCUUCAUUAGUAUAACGGUUAGUAUAACCGCUUCUCAGUAUCUAGUUCUUCUAGUCUGUGCGCGGUAGACCAGGGUUCAACUCCCUGAUGGAGAA